GACGAACCGAGCGAACGUUGUUCGGAAUCACUGGGCUUAAAGGGCGCGUAGGCGGGCUGUCAAGUCUGGGGUGAAAUCCCGCGGCUCAACCGUGGAACUGCCUUAGAUACUGACGGCCUCGAGGGAGAUAGGGGCGAGCGGAACUGUGAGUGGAGCGGUGAAAUGCGUUGAUAUUCACAGGAACUCCGGUGGCGAAGGCGGCUCGCUGGAUCUCUUCUGACGCUGAGGCGCGAAAGCUAGGGGGGCAAACGGG
rnacentral:rRNA from 1 species